rnacentral:rRNA from 1 species
UACGAAGGGGGCGAGCGUUGUUCGGAAUUACUGGGCGUAAAGGGCGCGUAGGCGGCCGAUCAAGUUAGAUGUGAAAGUCCUGGGCUUAACCGUGGGGACUGCAUUUGAUACUGAUUGGCUUGAAUUCGGGAGAGGAUAGCGGAAUUCCCAGUGUAGAGGUGAAAUUCGUAGAUAUUGGGAAGAAACACCGGUGGCGAAGGCGGCCAACUGGACCACAAC